GCUGUCCUUUUGCAGACUAGCAACCGGCUGGCCAUUUCAAUUUAAGAAAACAAAAGAUGAUCCUGUGAACACUGUAUCAGGCAUCAUUACUGGACUGAAAAAAGGAUCACUUGAUGGACAUGCCUGGCGUUUUGUUUAGAAGUAUUUCUUCUCUGGCCUUAGAAGAUUAGUUUUCAAAGCGAUGGUAAAAUCAUUGAUGUAUGUCUUUUCAAGAAAAAGAAAAAAAAAAGACUCCUAAAUGCCAAACAUUUGCUCUUUGGAGCAUAGCAAGAAGAAAGGGAGAGGACCAGACGGCCACAUCCUAAGAACAGAGUAUUGUCCAGAAGGGGUCUAAAGAAGCCUGCCUUCCCCUAUGAAAGCACCUUCCAUGCUGAUAUUAUACCUCAUUUUCCGAAGGGAGUGUGGUGUGAUGGCACCUCAGAAUGGCACCCAGGAAC
rnacentral:lncRNA from 10 species